ensembl:lncRNA TTC28-AS1 TTC28 antisense RNA 1
ACACGAGGCCUCCACUGCGGUUGCGCAGCCUGCCGAAGAGCGUGCGGCUUCUACUGCGGCUGCGCAAGCUCGACGCGCGCACUCUUGUCUGCUUACGAGGGCUCCUCCCUUCAGCUUUGGUCCCUCGGGGCGUCUGGGCAGCCUACGCUUUCCGUAAACACUGGGAUGCCGGAGCUCAGGCAUCCCAGACAGGAGGAAGUGUGUACUCACACCAGCCAGGAGGAAACAAGCCUGCCUGGGAGGACAGACGAUCAGCCCUGGCUGUCCCUCAGGAGCGGGGGGCCUCCAAGGCACACUGCCCACUGGGUCAAGGAGUAUCCAGGAGGAGUUAGAAGCAUGACCCAUCUGCCUGGCACCAGCACCUGGGGCUGCCAGGCAGCCACCCCUGCAGCUGUGUUGACAGGACCUGGCAGAGGGACUGACCCACCUUUGGAAAAUGACACCAGCAAUAUCAGGAUGUGUCAACUGGAUUUAUGCUAAGAAAAUAGGAUUUUUGGUGUUCCUCUGUUUCCCAAAGUUUGAGACACUUUCAGACACUCUGCUUUGCGGUUGUGGCCGAUGUUACCCAUGGGUGGGACUUUUGCUUUGCUCUAGAUUUUUGUAACACCCUGGGGAGUUUCAGGGGCCAAUGCUGAGAGAAGACCACAGGCUGACACAUCAUGAGGUAUGUUGGUAAAACAGUCCCGGCUGGCCGAGAGGCCACUGAGGGAACAGGCCCAGGGUUUGGUUUGUACUCUGUGAGUCUUGGCCUGGCAGGGUUUCCUGCAAAGCAGAGUCCUCUGAGUGGGACCCCAGGGGAAGCAGGUUGUUGCCUGGAGCUGAGGGGCAGCUCUGUAUUCAGGAGGGGUGCCUGCCUUCCCAUCUCCCCUGUGACCAGAUGUCACAGAAACAUUCUCUCUUUACUCCCUAGACCCUCUGGGCAGGUCCACUAAGAGCAUGUAUUCUAGAACAUGCAGGGCUUGAAGCUUCACAAGAUAUUCAGUGCACUCCUUACAGAUCCUGUCAAAUGUGGACCGGGUGGUGUCAUCGCACCACCAUCAUCCCCUUGUUACCCCUGAGAACACAGCUUCAGAGAGGGUAAGUAACCUAUCUCAGGCCACACAGCCAGGACAUGGAGUAGAUCCAUCCUAAGUCUUUCUACCACACACUCCUUUCUACAGUCAUGGGUUAAAUGAGGGUGCCAUGGAAUGGGUCAUCCAGUGUACACUGACAUCAGGAGGAGUUUCACAUUCAUACACUCAUGGCAAAUGGUUCUGUUGCUCCCUGGUCCAAAGAUGAUCUUAAUAGUAGGAAAAACUCAUUUGGCAGAAGCAAGACUCAGCACACAGGCUCUCUCCCUGAGUCUUCUGUGGCUGGCCUUGCCCUGCCCUCCCCUCCCCAACCCCACUGGCAGAAUAAAGUCGGGGGGCUGUGAGGACUGAGCCCCAGGCCUUGACAGGCACCCGCAGCCAGCCGAACUCCCACCUGCCCAGUUGGAGGGGUGCGAGAAGGCCUUGCUGCUCUGCACCACCUUCAUGGCCUCCCCCAGGGCGGCGCUGGCUUUCAGGCCGUUCAGCAGGGAUGAGUAGAAGGCAUGGAUGAACAUCUUAGAAGCAGCCACUGGCACAGGCCACAGAGACACGAGGACACACUGAGCGCCGGCAGCCAGGAAGGCCCUUGUCAGCGCGAUGACCCCGUCGGCUGUGACUUUGCUGUUGGACUCCUGGGAGGAGCCAAGCACCACCAGCUUCACAGGCAGCUGCAGGUCCAGGACGUCGGCGGCAGUGCCUAACUUACUGAGAAUCAUGCCUGCUGUGAUGAGCCCUUGGAAACCAUCAGGACUGGAUGGUAGGGGUCCUGAGAGGAUUGGGGGAGGAGGCCUUGAUAUGACAGAGUGGACAGAGGCCGUGGAACCCAGGACAGCCAGCCUGCUCCACAAUCCUCAUCCCCACAGACCUUCAUGUGUGGCUCCUAAAUAAGAGGAAACCCACUCCUGAUAAGUCAGGGGCUUUGAAAAGUGAUUUUGUUUAAAUGGUGCAAACAAGCAAGCCAAUCUUGGGGAGACAGGGCUAAACUUAAGUCCUUUAAGAAGCUCUACAUACUGACAAGAUUCUAGUUCCCUUCCACCUUAUAUGCUGCAAAGUAAAAAGUAUCACUGAAUGAGAAAAUCAGCAUAAAGAAGCCCAAUAAUGUCUGCCUGAGUUUCCCCUAUGAUGACUUUUGGUACUUUUUGGGAAACAUUAAGUAUGAAGUUAUUUCAAAAUAAUUUUUUGGUGCCUCUGCUUGGUGAUGCCUUAAACUCUGGGUAAGAGAAACACCAGGUGCCUGUCAGGAGAUGGCCUUUUCCAGGUUUCUGGUUAAGCUACAAACAGCUAACUGGCUGCUGUCAUCAAAAUAAAAGCUUUCUGAAGGUGGAGGCAUCUGAUACCCAGAGUGCUGCUAUCAGCCGGCACGGUGGGCCGCUGGGUGGCAGGAGCGUCGAGAAGGCCAGCUCGCUUCCUAUCUGGGAUUCAGAAUCAGCUAUGGAAACUUGAGAGACCUAGAGAAAAUAACUUCUUUCACUUUGAACUGAUUCUUUGCUUCAUAAGAAAAGUAUUAUCCAGCCACAAAAAUGGUCAAAAUUCAGAUCUACAAAAGCCUGUCAGGCAGAAACUGACCCCACUUAGGCCACGCCAAUGAGCAAGUCAUCAAAGCAGCCAAGACAGGUCCUGUGGGGGCCACCCAUGCACAGGGCCCAGCCUCGGGUCCUAACCCCGCCUAUGCUUUCCGCCACCAUAAAGAGGCCCAUCUGGGUAAGACCUGUCCCGCCUGCUGUGGGGUAUUAGGGCAGAUGGGGUCUGAGGGGUCUGAGGGCUCUGAGAGCAGCUGGCAGCUCAAGGACAUCCGGAGUUGGAGGAUGGAGCAAUGCAGGCCCUUGUGGUAAAGACAGUCCUGCAGCCGCGCAGGCAGGGAUGCUGCAAGUGGAGUGCCAGGCGGGUGCGGAGCCCUGUGGGACUGUGGAGGGGUCAGAGGGAAGCCAGGAUUUUGGGGUCUCUGAGAGUUUGGAGAAGGGGAAGAAGAUUAAAGCUUGUUUCAAAAGUUUCUAAUCAGGUGGGCAGGGCCAAGGGUGGCUGUGGGGUGAGACCCAUGACUCAGGGUGGCCCACUGUUACUCUAUUGAUUUUUGGGCGUUUUUUUCCAAAUUGAUUAUUCUUGCUGAAUGAGACCUGAGUCCUUGACUGUCCCCUUAAAGCCACCUGACUUGUUUUCAGUUCCACUGGCCUGUCGGGCUGUUUUCUACUCAACUCCACUCUUGCUUGUCUGCCCUCCCUGCCUGGGGCCCAGCCAGCAGUCAGCUCAAGGGCCAGAUGAAUUGGGUGGCUGUGCUCUGCCCACUGGGCAUCGUGUGGAUGGUGGGUGACCAGCCCCCUCAGGUGCUCAGCCAGGCCUCAAGCCUUGCUGUGUACCUCAGAGCAGCUCCGUACCCUGAUGUCACAGCAAAGAAACUUAGACAUGACACAAACUGUGGCUUCCCAAGGCAGCAAAGAAUGGCCAGGGGUCAUGAGGGCCGUGCCCCACUUUUGGACAGACCUACUCUAAAGUCACGCUACCUGCGUGCAAAUCAUAAAAUCAACACUUUUGAGGAGAUCACAGCUAUGCCUUCGUAACACAGCCCAGUCCGACCAGAUAGACGGUGCCUCGUGACCCGAAAACAAGCCCCCGGCCCCCCACCAUGUGUGUGAGCCUUACCUUGGACUGCACGCUGAGGGAGCGGAUGGAAGGGACAGCAAGGAGGCCGAAGCGCUCGUAGAGGUACUCAUUGGAGGAGCUUCCCUUCAGGAGGGCGAAAGGAAUGAGGUAGAGCUCCCCCUCCAGAACCAGGAUGAGCUGCCGGUGCCGGCCCACGGGGCCGCUGGAGUGCAUCAGGCCCUAUGGAGCAAGCACGGAGAGGCUGACAUGGGUGGCCCAGCAGGCAGGGGUUUCAGGCACCAGGACAACCCUGAGCCCUAGCCUGGAUGACACAAGCACGAGCAGGUGAGGCCUGUGGGGGUGUGGGGCGCCAUGGGGCAUGGGCCGAGUUGCAGCCCUGCAGGAGCGGCACCAACUGGCAUGCUCGCUUGUGGACUGGCAAGGGCUGGCCUGGCAGCAUCCAUCUGCCUCACAGUCCUGAGAAGGUUAGAGGACAGUUUCUUGAAGUUCACAAGAACCUGAAGUGGGUUGGAGACCGGUCUGUACCGCACAGGCACCCUGAGAAGGGGUGGGAAUGGCCCCUCUCAAAACAAGAUCUGUUUUCCAUUUCAAUGGACAAGAGGCUAGAAAAUCACAGUGAGGACGGGAGGUCUGGGGGCUGGCAUGACAGCCCCUGUAGAAGGGGAUGGGCUGGGUUCUAGGAUCUUCCGUGACCUCCUCUGAGAAAGAGUGGCCCCUUGGCUCUGGGCUUGGGAGGUGCCGUCCCCACUUGUUCCCUCUGGGGAUGUCAGGGGACCCAAUGCAUGGAUGACUCCCAUCCCUCUUGAAAGGCCGAGCAUGAGGACUCGAGGCAGGGUGUGCACAGGGCCACAGCGGACACAGCCUCAUUCCUGUUCAUUGCAGAACAAGGCUAAGGGCGCGGGCAUCUUAAUGAGAGCAGCAGGCAACAAUCCUGGAAGCUGGGUCCACACAGACUGCGGUGAACAAAGAGGUGGCGUGGAAGCUGCUGCUGCAGCCCAGAGCCUGCCAAGAAGGUCCCAGGUCCACAGGGCCUGCGCAACACUGGGUGCCAGGGGUGGGGCUGGCCUGCCCCCCAACCCCAUCUGCUGAGGAGUGGCUGACAAGCGGACACCCACCAGGGUGCCACUCGCUUGUGCCUGGGGAAGCAAAUGUGCUCGCUUGACCCGUCUGAUGUGCUGCCGUGGGCACUUGACUGAGAGUGGCAGAGCACUAGGCUAACCCAAAGUGACACAUGCCUGGCGGGAUGUUCAGUCU